rnacentral:lncRNA from 1 species
UGUGUGUGUGUGUGUGUGUGUGUGACUGGGUCUCUGCUAUUUGGAAAACUGACAGAGCACUGUAACNCUUAGUCGGAUUCGUUAACCACUGCGCCACGAUGGGAACUCCAUGCAAACUCUUGCAUUUGGAAUGGAUAAGCAAUGAGACGCUGCUGUGUAGCCCUGAGCACUACAUCUGGUCACUUGUGAUGAGCAUGAUGGAGGAUAAUGUGAGAAAAAGAAUGAAUACAUACACAUACGUGUGUGUGUGUGCGUGUGACUGGGUCUCUUUGCUAUUCAGAAAUUGACAGAACACUGUAACCAGUUAUAAUAGAAAAAAUGAAAAUCAUUAUUUAAAAAAAGGGCAUUCUUUACCUCAGUGGUUAAAGCAGAUCUGCCAGGAGGGUUGGCAGGAUUCGUUCCCACAAAGUUCAGGCAGAAACACGUAUGAGCCAAAAUGAUGUCUCCACCCUCGAGAGGUGAAUGUUGUCUCCACUGCAAACGCAUGAUACUCUUCAACCCAUCAGGUCCAGCAAUUCUCCUUCUGAGGACUCACCCAGAAGAACUGAAGGCACCCUCCAGAAGAAUUCUCUGUACAGCCUUUUUCCUGGCAGCGUUGCUCACAAGAGCUAGAACACGCAGUACCCCAAGUGCCCACGGACCAACGAAGGGCUGUCAGAGGUCGUGUGUACACACAGCAGCGUGUUGUUCAGCCUUAAGAAGGAAGGGAAUGCUAACACAUGCCGCGCCGUGUGUCUACCUUACAGACAUCCUGCUAAGUAAGCCACUGCCUGUGUUACCAGGGCCUGGAGCUACACCUUUGACAGCCUGAUCGGGAACCAUAUCUCGCAGGUGUUAGAGGGAACGUUCUCUGAGCAUGUGCCCUCGUUCCUGUCCCCAUACCCAGACAUUGUUGCGCUGGUGCUAGUGCUGGUGAUGACUGGUAAGAAGGGGUCAGAGCUAAGCUGGGAAGCAUGGACUGUGAAUGGGGGAGCUAGGGUUGGAAGGCUUGGGUCCCCAAAUGGUCGGGGGAUUAGGACUGGAGAGAAAGGGUCAGGAAGGCAGAGCUUAGCCUAUUGUUUUCCACCUUUGCAGCACUGACGUUUGCAGGGGGUGGGGGCUGUCCUGUGCUCCCCGAAUUGCAUUUUUCUUUCUUUCUUUUCUCUUUUUUUAAAAUAGAGCUGCAUGGGUGGCAUAUGGAAGUUCCUCAGGCUAGGAUUUGAAUCCAAGGCACCCCUGUGACCUACACCACAGCUCAUGGCAGCACUGGAUCCUGCAGCCAGUGAGUGAGGCCAGGGAUCCAACCCACAUCCUCCAGGGGCAACAGUGGGUACUUAACCAGCUGAUCCACAGUGGGAACUCCUGUAAAAUAACUGUGGGAUGUUUACCAGCAUCCCUGGCCUUUACUCCUCCAUGUGACACAUGACAGUCAGAAUGUCUCCAGAUAUGGCCACACCUCCAUCCGGGGACAAAAUCAGCCCAGCUCCGAAUGACUGAGAAAAUGACAAGUUUUCUCAUGUAUAUUGAUAACAAGCAUUUUUGUUUUUGUCUUUUUAGGGCCACACCAGCGGCAUAUGGAUAUUCCAAGGCUAGGGGUCUAAUUGGAGCUACAGCUGCUGGCCUAUACCAGAGACACAGCAACACUAGAUCUGAGCCGCCUCUGCAAUGCACACCAUAGCUCACUGCUCGCCAGAUCCUUAAGCCACUGAGUGAGACCAGGGAGGGAAUCUGUAACCUUAUGAUUCCUAGUCAGAUUCUUUCUGCUGCACCACCACAGGAACUCCACAAUGAUGUUCUUUUAAAGGAAGGAAGAUUCUCAGAGGAGAACUAAU